CUGGGAGUCCUGUUGUCUGCUGGAACUGCCCUUUCAUAUGCUGCUUCUGCUUAUCUUUGACCUGUUUGGCUGUAUCUACUUGAACAACUUCGCUUUGGGCUGCUGAGCACUGGCCACAUUGAAAUGCUAAAAGCAGCAGCACUAAGAGAUUUCACAGGUGUCUUGGAAAUUACUUCAGGAGCUUUGCUCAACGUAUUGAUCAGAAAGCCAUCCCAGAUGAGGCCUCCAGAAAGUCAGGUGCAGCAUUUAAAGGGAUCACGACUUAACCUCAAAAUCUCAAAAGUAGGGCUUGGACUGAGAGCCAGUGUUAAGGGUGAAGACAAUUUUUAAGGUGCCACUUCCUACCAGCUUCAAAACCUGACCUUCCAGAAAAAGGGAAUCGGUUAAAGUGAUGUUAAAGACAACAAAUCUUCCUCAGCAAGACAGCCAUGCUCCAGACAUUAGCUAUUCAUUCACUGCAAAGGCAGUUCAUCACCUGACCACUUUGGUUGGCACCAUGCAUUACCAGAGCUCAGGAGACAAGGCUUUAUCUACUUUGGAUGGUUUUGUAACUGGGCUGAGCAAACACUUCAAAGUGUCUACCUAAAGGAGAGUCUCAGCAGCAAGACUAAAGCUUUUGAGCAAACAGGAGGUUUGGCUUUCAUUGACCAUUUGAAGUAAAUCAGCUAAACAGUGAUUUGGAGAGGAAGGUAUCUUAACAGGAUCACAUCCUCCAACUCCCUUAAAGCUGCAGCUGGUACAGUCCAGGCUACCCAGCACAUACCUCCAGCAGAGUACCAAUCACAUUAGAUGGUCUGAGGUUCAACAUGGCAAGAAAUUCCACAGAUAACACUUUUUUAUGUCAAAUUUCUUUUCAGUAAAACUGUUCUCCCACUGAUAUAAAGCCAGUAAUUAACUGACAAGGAGGCAGGAGAUAAGAAAGAAAAAGUCAGCAGCAGGAAAGUUAGCAAGUGAUGUGACAUUAUGGUAAUAAGUCACACUAAUAAUGAUCAGUUCUCAGAACAAAUCAAGAGAUUUUAGAACAACUCGCGGCCUCUUUGACAAGGAAAGUGAAGCUCUAACAAAUUUGCCUCGGGUUCUAAAACUCAGAGAGAUAACUGAAGCUGGUUUGCUGCAGUGUCAGACUACUUGGACUUAUGUCAAACAUGGAGCAUCUCCUUGCAACAGCUCCUGUGUCGCUUACUGCCCUUCUCCUCCCCCCCUCUCAGCGACAGCCGACUCAACUGCUACACAGACAUCCCCAGAGAGCUGCAUCCUCUGUGGAGAGCCAGACUCAAUCCUUCCGCCUCUGCACUGGCUGCAGCACUUUGCCUUCCAGCAACAGAAUCACUCAUGAGACGUGCUGAAAACUAUCCAAAUAGCUCAAGGAGCUGGCAAUAUGGACCCUUCUGACAUCUCAUCUUCUCUGAAACUGAACUUGGCACUGCUCAAGACAACAGCAGCUGGAGGUAAGCUACGCAGGACUGCAGAGUAACUGUAAACUUUUACUCUUCUGAGGGCUGUAACCACUGGCUAACCCAGAAAAAGUCAUCCAAGGCCACUUUGCAUUGGGGUCACACCAGGG